CUUGCUUUGCCACCAAUGCAGCUGAUGAGGAGUAACAGAAUGGAAUACUAAGCUGCCCUCAUUGCCAACCGAUUGCCUCACAUCAUGGCUUGUUCCACGGUCGUCACAGCCAUUACCCUGCGAUUGCUGUUUGCCGGCAUCAUCGACAGUGUACCCCUCUUGGAUGUACCCUGGCCUGGCGAGCUUGUUCACUCAAGUCGAACUACAUCGGCAAAGUCUCGAGCAAAGACUGGCUACUUCAACAUGCUGCUCAGUUUGCAUUAGUGAACUCCACUGAGCAUGUGAACUGUUGUGGCGGUAUGGCUGUUAGUUGCUUCUCUGAUGGUGAUGCAGGUUGGUGUCCAUUUGUCAUUCUACUUUAAAAGAUUGCAUUUCCUGUGCCUGCUGGUGUUCCUGUGCCCACAAGUAUGAUUGUAUGCGUAUCCGUAGUUUACAUUUAUGGUGUUAUAUCUUUUUGAGAAAGAGGGUACUCGGUCAUAAUACUCAAUCUGAAUACCUUCGAAAAAUCAACUUCCUUCCUAACGACGUCCGCAAACCAGUGAAAGUACUUUGCCCCUUUUCCAAAGAUGCGCAUUACCACUCGCUACAAAGUAUCAACUUGGAAGCUGCAUUCACUGCAAAUCCAAAAAUGUUGAAAUGCUAAAAUUAGUGGCACACACAACACAAGAAAUGGAUAAAUGAAAAAUACUAGACAGUUAUGUAGAGCAGUGCAUAACAAUAUAAAAAUAAGUUGAGCUCACCUCUAGAUAAAAAUUAAAAUUCGGACUGAACGAACAAGAAUAAUUGUGUAAGGCAGUUUAAUCAUCCAAUGGACAAAAGGACAACAACUUGGUAAUGAACUGAAUAGAAAAUAGUUGCAUGCCUUGUGUAUUCGUUUCGUAAUGAAUAUUUCUCAUUUGUUUGUUGCUGGGAGGUAACGGUUUUGUGCAAAUUACCCUGAGAAGUUGCUCCACUGAUCGCAUUUGACUUUUUCUGACCGGGUGUCAGCUACCUUGAAUUUCAAAGGCGUAUUUUUUUAUGUAAUCAAUCGGCCACAUUUAAUGAGCCACCUUUCACGUGUCAGACAGUAAUCAUGAAGGUCAGUUGCUUUCAAACUGAUAAGCUUUUUUUGAUGUGCAACAUAUUUUGCUACACAGAUAUCCGCAGGUUUUUCUGUUUUGGUAAAAAUAAGUUCUCUUUUUGAACCUUUUAAGCUCUGUCAGAACAAGCUAAACCUGAGUGAGAUGUGCCAGUUUUUCAGUGCUGCUAUAUUGUCUCUGUUCAUGAAAUCAUGACACAGACAGUCAACAGCAGUGGCAAUCCUCACACUAUACAAUGCAUGCAUCACUGUUGGAAAAGUACCGACAAGGCAAUGGGUGUCUAUGGUAUUCGUGUCCUCAUAUGUAUUUAACACAUAGCAGUUUCACCAGUGUCUUCUUCCUUGCCUAUUCACUUUCCCACUGAUAUUGUAGAUACUAUAGAUAAAAGCUUUUUUCGUCAAACUGUUGCUAAAAUUGUAUAAACAAGUUGUGUUUUCAUUUUGCACGUGUAUUUGUUUUUUACGACCCAGCAGUUGACAGAGUAUGAAAGAAACUUGCAACGUGCCUUGUUGAUAUUAAUUACUCAAUGCUUAAAUGUGUUUUGGAACACUCCCCUUCAUGUUUUACUGUGUAACAACGACAAAUAAAUAAAAAGUAAGUAAUCUUCCUAA